GGGUCAGUAGGUUGGUCAUGCCACUGGUAUGUACUGGUCUCACUGAUUCCUCCUUCCUGAUGAGCUGUAAUGCCAUUAAUUUGGUGUUGCAGGGAAUCAGGACUGUUACUUUGAAAAAAUUAGAGUGUUUAAAGCGGGCUUUAGCUUGAAUACAUUAGCAUGGAACAAUGAAAUAGGACGUUUGAUCCUAUUUUGUUGGUUUCUAGGAUUGACGUA
rnacentral:rRNA from 1 species